GAUGAACGCUGGCGGCGUGCCUAAUACAUGCAAGUCGAGCGAACGGACGAGAAGCUUGCUUCUCUGAUGUUAGCGGCGGACGGGUGAGUAACACGUGGAUAACCUACCUAUAAGACUGGGAUAACUUCGGGAAACCGGAGCUAAUACCGGAUGAUAUUUUGAACCGCAUGGUUCAAAAGUGAAAGACGGUCUUGCUGUCACUUAUAGAUGGAUCCGCGCUGCAUUAGCUAGUUGGUAAGGUAACGGCUUACCAAGGCAACGAUGCAUAGCCGACCUGAGAGGGUGAUCGGCCACACUGGAACUGAGACACGGUCCAGACUCCUACGGGAGGCAGCAGUAGGGAAUCUUCCGCAAUGGGCGAAAGCCUGACGGAGCAACGCCGAGUGAGUGAUGAAGGUCUUCGGAUCGUAAAACUCUGUUAUUAGGGAAGAACAUAUGUGUAAGUAACGGUGCACAUCUGGACGGUACCUAAGCAGAAAGCCACGGCUAACUACGU
rnacentral:rRNA from 1 species